AAAAACAUUUCUUAUACUUUAUUAUAAGUAAAAUCUGCUCAAUGAAAAUUAAAUAGCCGCAGAAAUUUACUGUGCUAAGGUAGCAUAAUCAUUAGCCUUUUAAUUAAAGGCAAGUAUGAAAGAUUUAACAUUUUAAUAGCUUUUUUUAAAAAAUAUUUUUAAUUUACAUUAAAUAUAAAAAUGUAUUUAUACCAUAAUAAGACGACAAGACCCUAUUGAACUUAACUAUAGUUAAGCUGGGGCAGCUUUUUAAUAAUUACUUUAUUUUAAAAAAUAAAUCAGUUAACCAAUAAAAUUGAAUAUAUGAUCAAGUUACCAUAGGGAUAACAGCGUAAUAACUCUUUGAAGUUCUUAUUUAAAGAGAAGGUUGCGACCUCGAUGUUGAAUU
rnacentral:rRNA from 1 species